rnacentral:misc_RNA from 1 species
GAAAUGCGAUAAGUAAUGUGAAUUGCAGAAUUCCGUGAAUCAUCGAAUCUUUGAACGCACAUUGCGCCCUCUGGCAUUCCGGGGGGCAUGCCUGUCCGAGCGUCAUUACGCACCCUCAAGCCCGGCUUGUGUGAUGGGCCCCGGCGUCUCGUUCGCGAGACGGGCCCGAAAGGCAGCGGCGGCGUCGACCCGAUGAUCCCGAGCGUAUGGGGACUUCUGUCACACGUUCGCGGUGCGGACCGGCGCCUGCUUGACUUUUCUGAUUAUCCAGGUUGACCUCGGAUCAGGUAGGGAUACCCGCUGAACUUAAGC